AGAGUUUGAUCAUGGCUCAGAACGUACGCUGGCGGCACGCCUAACACAUGCAAGUCGAACGAAGUAGCAAUACUUAGUGGCAGACGGGUGAGUAACAUGUAGGUAUCUGCCCUUUGGCCUGGAAUAACACGAGGAAACUUGUGCUAAUACCGGAUAAGUCUUUACGGAGAAAGCUUUAUGCACCAUUGGAUGAGCCUGCACUUGAUUAGUUUGUUGGUGGGGUAAUGGCCUACCAAGACUGUGAUCAAUAGCUGAUUUGAGAGGAUGAUCAGCCACAUUGGGACUGAGACACGGCCCAAACUCCUACGGGAGGCAGCAGUGGGGAAUCUUGCACAAUGGAGGAAACUCUGAUGCAGCGAUGCCGCGUGAGUGAAGAAGGCCCUUGGGUUGUAAAGCUCUUUCGUCGGGGAAGAAAAUGACUGUACCCGAAUAAGAAGGUCCGGCUAACUUCGUGCCAGCAGCCGCGGUAAUACGAAGGGACCUAGCGUAGUUCGGAAUUACUGGGCUUAAAGAGUUCGUAGGUGGUUGAAAAAGUUGGUGGUGAAAUCCCAGAGCUUAACUCUGGAACUGCCAUCAAAACUUUUCAGCUAGAGUAUGAUAGAGGAAAGCAGAAUUUCUAGUGUAGAGGUGAAAUUCGUAGAUAUUAGAAAGAAUACCAAUUGCGAAGGCAGCUUUCUGGAUCAUUACUGACACUGAGGAACGAAAGCAUGGGUAGCGAAGAGGAUUAGAUACCCUCGUAGUCCAUGCCGUAAACGAUGUGUGUUAGACGUUGGAAAUUUAUUUUCAGUGUCGCAGCGAAAGCGAUAAACACACCGCCUGGGGAGUACGACCGCAAGGUUAAAACUCAAAUGAAUUGACGGGGACCCGCACAAGUAGUGGAGCAUGUGGUUUAAUUCGAAGAUACGCGCAGAACCUUACCAACACUUGACAUGUUCGUCGCGACUUUAAGAGAUUAAAGUUUUCGGUUCGGCCGGACGAAACACAGGUGCUGCAUGGCUGUCGUCAGCUCGUGUCGUGAGAUGUUGGGUUAAGUCCCGCAACGAGCGCAACCCUCACUUUUAGUUGCCAUCAUUAAGUUGGGCACUCUGAAAGAACUGCCAGUGAUAAGCUGGAGGAAGGUGGGGAUGACGUCAAGUCCUCAUGGCCCUUACGUGUUGGGCUACACACGUGCUACAAUGGUAUCUACAACAGGAAGCAAAACCGCGAGGUUAAGCAAAUCCUUAAAAGAUACCUCAGUUCGGAUUGCACUCUGCAACUCGAGUGCAUGAAGCUGGAAUUACUAGUAAUCGUGGAUCAGCGUGCCACGGUGAAUGCGUUCCCGGGUCUUGUACACACCGCCCGUCACACCAUGGGAGUUGGUUCUACCUUAAGGCAAGGUUUAAAACCCUUGACCACGGUAUAGUCAGCGACUGGGGUGAAGUCGUAACAAGGUAACCGUA
rnacentral:rRNA from 1 species